ACCAAGCCUAGCCCGACGGGGCGAAAUGCGGAAAUCUCACCCGCCUGGCUUGGUAUCUUUUUUGAGA
rnacentral:sRNA from 1 species